rnacentral:lncRNA from 1 species
GUGGACGACCUAGAACUGAAAUGUAUUCCCGCAUUUUACUGGUGGGCGACCUAGAACAGAAAAGUAUUCCCGCAUUAUACUGGUGGGUGACCUAGAACUUAAAAGUAUUCCCGCAUUAUACUGGUGGGCGACCUAGAACCUAAAUGUAUUCCCGCAUUAUACUUGUGGGCGACCUAAAGAGUCUAACGCGUCAUCAUCUUUGGGGAAGGAAGUGAAAUUCACUAAACAAUCCAUCCCUAAUUCUAAGUAAUUUUUUUUUAAUAAUUAAAUAAAUAAAUGAGAAUGGAGAAUCCUAUACAUUUGUAUUAUU